rnacentral:rRNA from 1 species
GGGCCCGCACAAGCAGCGGAGCAUGUGGUUUAAUUCGAAGCAACGCGAAGAACCUUACCCAGACUUGACAUCUCCUGAAUUAAUCGUAAUGGAUGAAAUCCCUUCGGGGACAGGAAGACAGGUGGUGCAUGGUUGUCGUCAGCUCGUGUCGUGAGAUGUUGGGUUAAGUCCCGCAACGAGCGCAACCCUUAUCCUUAAUUGCCAGCGGUUAGGCCGGGAACUCUAAGGAGACUGCCGAUGACAAAUCGGAGGAAGGUGGGGACGACGUCAAGUCAUCAUGGCCCUUACGUGUAGGGCUACACACGUGCUACAAUGGCCGGUACAAACGGUUGCGAACCCGCGAGGGAAGCUAAUCCCAAAACCCCAUCUCAGUUCGGAUCGGAGUCUGCAACUCGACUCCGUG